CCUCGGAUCAGGUAGGAAUACCCGCUGAACUUAAGCAUAUCAA
rnacentral:rRNA from 1 species